CAUCCUCGGCCCGUGGGCCGCAGCGUGGAACAAAUGGAGCUGCUGAAUCAAUAAAUUACAAGGCUGAUUCCUUUUUGGUGAUAAUUUCCAUUUGGAGCCAAUUUGAAAGUGACCCAGUCCCCAGAAGAAAUCGUUCUCAUAGAGGAGGAGCUUCCUGAGACAGCAGGCUUCUCUCUCCCUUUCUUGCAGUUAUAUACAAAUGUCUUCAGUUUUUCUGCCCAGGCGUCCUGCAGACUUCACACUGUUUCCUGCAGUGAGAAAUGCGACUUCUGUCUCCAAACUUAGUGAGAGUUGCACAGGAGCAGGUGAUCGACCCCCCGAGGACUGUCACCACCACUUUGACGUGUUCACAUAUAAUGGUGUGCCUUCCUGUGUGGGCGUGUGAGCUCGGUAUACAGAAGCAGCGCGGUGAUAGUGAUCAAUAAUAGUUGUGCUCGCAGAGUGACCCGAGCACCCUCACAGACUGCUCAGAAAUACAUCAGCCAACUCCUAACGACACCCCGGCUCGUUAUUCCCUCCCUGGGGCCUCCAUACAAUACAGAGGGCUAAAGGCAGCUGCAGCCCCAUGUAUGUAUAUAAAUAUAUAUCUGCAGUGGGAGGUGGAGUUUGAAGGUGACAGACAAAGUCUCCGUCUCUCCAAAGUGGCUCAAGGUUGCAGCUCACCCAGGAGGUUUGUCACUGAGAGGAGGGAGAGGACAGAAAGACAGCUGUGAAAUGAAUCGACCGUCACCAAACAAGCUGCGAAGGAGAGGCAGAGAGCAGCGUGUCGGAUGCUUCUGUCCACCGACUUAUUGGAUGUGAAUCUGGAGGAAUUCUUUGCCCUGGUGACUCAUGAAUCUCCCAAAUGAAGAGCUGAAGCAGCCAUUAGCAACUUGUGAAUGAUGUCGAGUCAGCCGAGCCCCGCCGCAGCCAGUCGCUGUGUGUAAUUGUUCACCCUGUAGCCAGUUCCAUCAUUCAUCAUGUGCUGGUCAGUGGAGUCUGCGUGCAGGGUAACAGAGAGGCGAGGACAAAGGGUGCGAGCUGGAGCUGAAGUUCAUUAAGAUUUGGACCUUUUCUGGAAUAUUUUGAGGGAAGCCAAAUGAUGCAGUUUGUGGCAACAAGAUUGAGCAUCUUUAUUUGGAGCUGACGGUGCUUAAAAUGCAUCCAACAGUUCAUGCUUUCCUGACAAAGGUCGGGUUUUGUGCGAUGGUAAAUCAGAAUGUGAGGAGGUAAACUUUUGACAAACAAAGCUCUCAGAUUUUUGUAUAUUUAAUGCAUUUUCUGAUGAUUCUUCCUCCUAAAACUGGAGGUUUAAACCUUAGCCGCCCAAUCAAAGACUCCAAUCAAAGCAUUUUGUUUAACUCUUGUAGUAAAGCGCACCGUGCUUUCUGAUGAUCUAUAAUGGGCUUAACAAAAAGUGCAUUAUAGAAAGAUCUUAAAGGCUUAACGAAGCAAAAAAUAAAACAAAACAAAACAACGAGUUCCUCUGAAAAUGGUCAGGUCCGAGGACUGGACUCAAAAUGAGUGAAAAAGCAGCCAAUGUCAGAAAAAAUAUAAAGAAAUGAGGGGUGGCUCAAGACUUUUGCACAGCACUGUGUGAGCAAACCACCUUUGCAUGCAAAAGUGUUUUGGCCUCUUGAGUUUUAAAGCCUCAGCAUGCCUUAAAAUCUCAGCAGGGAUUUGUGUGGCUACUCAAACGUUGCCACCCACACUCGUCAACACCA